rnacentral:rRNA from 1 species
GCUGGCGGCGUGGUUAAGACAUGCAAGUCGAACGAGAAGCUCCCUUCGGGGAGUGGAGAGUGGCGCACGGGUGAGUAACACGUGAGCAACCUGCCGGGAAGCCCGGGAUAGCCCUCCGAAAGGAGGAUUAAUACCGGAUGUGGCCACCCUGCGAUUGCAGGGGAAGCUAAAGGAUUUAUUCACUUCCCGAGGGGCUCGCGGCCCAUCAGCUUGUUGGUGAGGGUAACGGCCCACCAAGGCGACAACGGGUAGCUGGUCUGAGAGGAUGGUCAGCCACACUGGAACUGAGACACGGUCCAGACACCUACGGGUGGCAGCAGUCGAGAAUCAUUCGCAAUGGGGGAAACCCUGACGAUGCGACGCCGCGUGGAGGAUGAAGGCCUUAGGGUUGUAAACUCCUGUCAAGAGGGAAUAAGCAAGUGAAGGUACCUCUAGAGGAAGGGGCGGCUAAUUCCGUGCCAGCAGCCGCGGUAACACGGAAGCCCCGAGCGUUGUUCGGAUUCAUUGGGCGUAAAGGGUGCGUAGGCGGCGCGGAAAGUCCGGCGUGAAAGGCAGGGGCUCAACCUCUGGACUGCGUUGGAUACUUCCGUGCUUGAGGACUGGAGGGGAGACCGGAAUUCACGGUGUAGCAGUGAAAUGCGUAGAUAUCGUGAGGAAGACCGGUGGCGAAGGCGAGUCUCUGGACAGAUCCUGACGCUGAGGCACGAAGGCUGGGGGAGCGAACAGGAUUAGAUACCCUGGGUAGUCCCAGCAGUAAACGAUGUGAGCUUGAUGUGGGGGGAUUCGACCCCUUCCGUGUCGAAGCUAACGCGAUAAGCUCACCGCCUGAGGAGUACGGCCGCAAGGCUAAAACUCAAAGAAAUUGACGGGGACCCGCACAAGCGGUGGAGUAUGUGGCUUAAUUCGAUGCAACGCGAAGAACCUUACCUGGCCUUGACAUGCAUUGUGUCGUCGGUGAAAGCCGGCUAGUCCUGGAAACAGGACGCUUUGCACAGGUGCUGCAUGGCUGUCGUCAGCUCGUGUCGUGAGAUGUUGGGUUAAGUCCCGCAACGAGCGCAACCCUUGUGGUCAGUUACUAACCGGCUUAGCCGGAGGACUCUGGCCAGACUGCCCUGUCAAACGGGGAGGAAGGUGGGGACGACGUCAAGUCAGUAUG